rnacentral:misc_RNA from 1 species
GGAACAAAUAGUCAAAAAGAUUAAACCAUUACUUCUUUGCAUGCCAGCAUAUAGAGUAGAAGAAUUUACAGAUUGAAACUAUUCAAUUUGGUAAGUGGCUAUAGAUGAAACCACUCACCUUAUUAACCAUGUUUGUUGAGAAUGGGAAGCAAGCACCAUCAUGUAAAAAUGGCCUCAGCAAAAGGGAACGAAGAAAAUCGCGCUGGCGGGUAUGAGAAGUAUGAUGACUAGCUAAUGCUGCAUUCAGAAUUUUCCCCCUCCUCACCGUCUGAAAACCCCAACACGUAAGCGCCUCCUUCUCCAUCAUCAUCAUCGUCAUCACUGUCGACAUCACCCAAAUUCUCUCGUCUCUCAAUAUAAGCCAGUGCUUGCCUCCUGUGCAGACGUAAAACAUGCAUUAUCAUGUCCGGAGUGAGUGUGACCCGUGAAUGGUCCUCUCGACCACGCCUAUUAGCUUCCAUUAUCUCUUGAACAUCAGGAGGCAAAGGAGUAACAUCCUUAGAUGUUGGAGCCCAAAGCUUUAUGGUCUUUUCGAUUCCACAUGUAGCAAGAACAGGGAUACAAGGAUGGGGCUUCAGCUGAUUUACAAUGUGUCGAUCACCAACCAUCACGCGGACAAGCUUGGCGUCCUUUUUCUUCCAGAUAAAUAUAUGCCCACAAUCAGACCCGGUCAGUACAUACUCGUCGGUGGGACCAAAGAAACUCACUCCUUUAACUGUUUGUGAAUUUCUGUGCCCUGAAUAAACUUGUGGCUUUUCUAGCUUGUUCAAAUCUUCACCUUGCAACGACAAAGGAACUGGACCCAACCCCAUGUUCUUCUGAAACAAGUAUAUCAGUUCGUCGUUGUAUGAGACCAACAAUUCACUUGUGUUUGAGUAAGCCAGUGCUGUAAUGUGAACAUCGUGUUUCUUAACCAGGUGAUGGGGACAAAAUGUGUCGAUUGGCUUAUCGGAACUGGUUCUUGCAUCCAGCUGGUACAUUCUGAUGUCAUAUACACGGGCAUAUUCAUCCGAACCUCCUACAGCAAAAUAAUUUGGAUUUCUUGGGUCUAUCACUAUGGCAUUCAACCUUAUGCUGCUCGACUGCUUAUUGUUUUCCGUGAAUGAAGAGCAACGUAAAAGCUUUGAGGAAGAAUUACUUCGCAGAUCAUAGUGUUGAAGAAAACCAUCUUCACCGCAGCUAUAAAGUAUGUAGGGACUUCCUGGUUCCACAGCAAGCUUAUGUACACGACCUUGGUGCUUACCUACUUUUUUUGUUUCCACCCGACCAUUCUCCAGCACUAAACCAAGCCUCACCUGGCCAUCAGCAGAUGCAGUUAUUAUUUUACGAUCAUCCGUGAAGGGCAUGAACUUGGUCUGGAAUAUAUUAUCCAUGUGACCUGAUGGAUAAGAAAAUUUUGAGGUUGCCGUUGCCCAAUCCCAUAGUAUUACUCUUCUGUCAUCAGAGCCCGAGACAAGAACAUCACCAGUGGCAUUGAAGUCUAUUGUGUUUACACAUCCUUCGUGACCAGUUAACUUGCCAUAUAAAUCAAGACGCUUGACCAUAGCCUCAGAAGCAGAAAUUCCUCUAGAAAAAUUUCUAGGCUUAGAAACCCCAAUUUCUCUUUUAUAAAACUCCAUCAAAUCACCCUUUUUCAGCUUCUCCAUUUGCUACACCUCUUUUAAUCAAUCUUGAUGAUGAACUAUAGAAACUGAAGUAGAGAGU